UACGGAGGGAGCUAGCGUUAUUCGGAAUUACUGGCGUAAGACGCACGUAGGCGGCUUUGUAAGUUAGAGGUGAAAGCCUGGAGCUCAACUCCAGAAUUGCCUUUAAGACUGCAUCGCUUGAAUCCAGGAGAGGUGAGUGGAAUUCCGAGUGUAGAGGUGAAAUUCGUAGAUAUUCGGAAGAACACCAGUGGCGAAGGCGGCUCACUGGACUGGUAUUGACGCUGAGGUGCGAAAGCGUGGGGAGCAAACAGG
rnacentral:rRNA from 1 species